GAUGAACGCUGGCGGCGUGCCUAAUACAUGCAAGUCGAGCGAACAGACGAGGAGCUUGCUCCUCUGACGUUAGCGGCGGACGGGUGAGUAACACGUGGAUAACCUACCUAUAAGACUGGGAUAACUUCGGGAAACCGGAGCUAAUACCGGAUAAUAUAUUGAACCGUAUGGUUCAAUAGUGAAAGACGGUUUUGCUGUCACUUAUAGAUGGAUCCGCGCCGCAUUAGCUAGUUGGUAAGGUAACGGCUUACCAAGGCAACGAUGCGUAGCCGACCUGAGAGGGUGAUCGGCCACACGGGAACUGAGACACGGUCCAGACUCCUACGGGAGGCAGCAGUAGGGAAUCUUCGGCAAUGGGCGAAAGCCUGACGGAGCAACGCCGCGUGAGUGAUGAAGGUCUUCGGAUCGUGAAACUCUGUUAUUAGGGAAGAACAAAUGUGUAAGUAACUAUGCACGUCUUGACGGUACCGAAUCAGAAAGCAACGGCUAACUACGUG
rnacentral:rRNA from 1 species